rnacentral:misc_RNA from 1 species
UUGAGUGGAGGGCUUGAAACCUGACUAACUAAACAGAUUCCUUUAUAAUGAAAAUCAAGUGUUAGCUUGCCCUAUUCUGUCUUGUCCCCUGCACCAAAUGCAACCUUAUUGCUAAAUGAUGAAUCCAAUCACCAAUGUUCUAUUAUGUAGUUAAUUAAACUUUCUCCUUGUCUCAAGAAGUUAGGCGUCAAAGAUGUAAUUUUAAGCAACUGUUUUAAUCAGUGAAUUGCAUUUAGCUCCAUGUAGACAUGAAAGUUUUCAUUUUAGAGCUACUGCUCUUAAGAGCAAAUUUAGCUACACAUGUUUGCAGAGUUUUUCAUUAGGUGUUCUGAGGCAUUCUUUGCUAGGAGAUUAAUCAUUUUCAACCUUGAGAGUAUGUAUGGAAUAUAAGAGAUUAUUGGAUAUUUUGGGCUAGGAUUUUUAAUAAUAAAUAGUGACUGAUGACCAUGUCUCUUUGAUGGAACUUCUCAUAUGCUGGGUACUGACUCUAUGAUCAGAAUCAGGUGCCACUGUGAAAUGUGUUUGCCAUCUUAUGGUUAUGCUACACUUGGUUUAAGUGCCAUUUUAGUGCUGGGGAAUAUCAUAUUUCAAGCAAUUGUCUUUGUAACUCAUGCCAAGUUGCUGAUUGAGCUCGUGCGAUGUAAGUUCCAUAUCAGCUCGAUAAAUAGACUAAUGAUCCUACCACUUGGAGAUCACAUAUCUUCUAACAGAUAGAUAAUUGGGUUAAAUCCAAAAAUAUUUAAAUUUAGCGUGAUUUUCAAUUUUAGUGGCAACAAAAAAAUUUGUCAUUAAAAUACUAAAACCAAUGGAAUGAUACAAUCAAAGCAUAUGACCAGCAAAGGCCAAGUGCAAUGGAACCUUGCCGAUGUGGCGGCAGUAAAAAUUUAAAAAAGAAAAAAUCUGAGGCCAAAACACACCAUCAACAUGUGCUUCUCUUUCAAAUGCAUGCACUCUGUACUCCAACCCAGGAUAACAGAGAAGAAAAAUCCCAUCUUCACAUUCAUGACUCUUAACCUGAAACACAAAUUUGCAGCUAAAAGCACCCUUGCUCGACAAUAAAAAGCUUCCCCUUGAAUUCACAUGUGUUUCUCCAAAGAAAAGGAAAUGAUUAAUUAAACCAUCUCAUUGCUAUCUGAGGGUGAUCAAAAAGACCAAUGCAUUUGGACACAAAAGAGAAGCAUUCCUUUUCCUGGGAGUCCAAAAUCAAGGAACAAAGCCUGCAAAAAGGCCUAGGGAGAUCUUUUUAAGGUAGGCCUUUGACAUAAGAUCCAAACCCAACAUUUUGCAUCAAAGCACACGGAACGAAGCAUGUGAGCAUCUCUCUCUCUCUCUCUCUC